GGCACAAACCCGUGUCCCCUGCAUCGGCAGGCGGACUCUCAACCACUGCGCCACCAGGGAAGCCCAAGUGUCCUGCAUUUUGAGGAGUAUAAUGAAAACUGCAGAGAGCAGAAGUCGUGCAAUAAAAGCUUUAUCACUAAAAGCAAAUCAAGAUCAAAAUGUUUCUUUAGAAUCAGUUUCUUUACUGUGACAGAGACUGCAUGGCUUACAGAACUGAGAAGCUUGGGCCUUUAUAAAGCCUGGACUUAAAGGAGGCAGCAAAGAUGUGGUUGUGAGACUUUGGAGAUUGCCUAUGGCUGCUUUCCUGAUACAAUAGCAGAAUUGAGUAAUUGCAACGAACAACAGCGUAUGACGUGCAAGGCCUAUAAGUUUGUGCCAUCUGGCUGUUUGCAGAAAAACUUUGAUGAUCUUUGUGCUAGAGUCAAAGAUGCUUCUCACAUAUGCUUCCCAAAACUGCCUCAGAUUUCCCCCUUGCUGCAGCCCAAAGGCCACAGACCCCUGUUGAAUCAGAAAACUCUGGAGUUGGAAGGAGGUAUUAGUGGAUAUCCAGUGAGAUUUCCCAUCUGAGACCAGAAUCUUCCAAGGAUGCCUUCUCAAGUGAUCCCCUGGAGGUGAAGGCACACCAUUGCCUGAAGGGGCCAACCCACCUUUUUUGGGAAGUUCUGGCUGUUGAAAAGUGAUUCCUUAUAUUGAGCUAAAAUCUUGUAGAAAGAAAAAUUGUUCAAGUUUUAUUAUUUUAUGAUGCCAUCUCCAGCCUUUGGAGGAGGAAGACUCCAUCAUCAGCAAGGUUGCUUCAAACCAGAAGGCAUGGAAGGAGAUAGAGGUGGAGGGAGGCCAUGUGCCAUCUCUCUGGCCCAGGGUUGAAGGUUUUCCAGGUCACAGGACAGUGCACAGAUCUCCAGAGCUUCCUGGCAAUGCCUGCAGAUGAAGGUGACAGUGAAUAUGCAGAAAUAGACAAUUUGGAGUGUUGGAUGGACUAAUUUUAAUAGUGAACAAAGAACAGUGUUGAAGACAUUUUACCCAAAGUGAAGGUCUUGGGAGUGAUCUUGGGUGGUGUCCAUCCUCUGUAUUGAAUAACACCAACUCCCCUGGAGAGAGAGCUGUGGCCCUUGCCAAUGCUGAGUAAGACAAGGAGAAAGUCUCCUUGGAGGCCAGCAGGACUUUCGCAUGCUUUAACACUUGCUGUGCUGCCAUUUCAACAGAGAGGACCAAGCAGCAGACUGGGGUCUUUGGGUGGACAAUAGCACGUAGCUAGAAUUUUUUUAGGUUGUUUUCCUUUAGUUAUAAUUCUAUUUAUGGCAAAUGACUAUGAUUUUCUGCUCAUGGUAGUGAAAAGUAUCCUUUUCAACACAUGCAUUUUGAUAAAAAGGUUAACCUAAAAAUAGUUGAGCAAAUAAUAGGGUAGGUGGUAUAUACAUGUAGCAAAAGUGAUGAAAUGGCUCCAAAAUUAAAUAUGGAGUUGUUGUAGCA